GAGAUUAGGAAGCCUUAUAGAGGCAGAGCAGCAGAUAAGUCCACCUCCAAGGAAUGAGGAUUUCCUUGCAAAGCCUGGAAAUGUUCACUGUACCCAAGAACUCAGCAUGUGGCAAAGUUCCAGAAGAGGAUCCAACACAGAGUGGAAAUAUUGAAAGCCCAGUAAUAAAAGGAGUACAAACAAACACAUUCACUCAUAGCUUCCAAUGGACAACACGAUGGAAGCCAUGAGGAGACCCUGGAGCAAGGUGUCCCAAACCACAGCUGAAAGCAGCGCUGCUCACACAGAGUGAGUGGGAGACAGGAGCUCAGGGAGCAGCCCCCAGAAUGCCAAGCUAUGCCCACUAGACUGAGCACACACAGAGCCUUAAUGGUAACUUACAGCACCAGAGCCAACUCGCCCCACACUAGACAGUAUUAGCUAUUUAAUUAUAACCAACAGUGCUUCUGGGUGUGGUUUUGGAAUAAAGUGAACUGUCCCCAUGCCCAGCCCAGCCACCUACCCAUUAGCACAGACCAUAUUAACACCAUCCCCUACCCCCGCCUCCACUGACAUGUAUUAAAGAUUUAUUGAGCUGUGUCCUCUCAGGUAUUUCACAAUACCCUGUUAACUUCUUUACGCAUAACACAGCAAUUUGAGUAGCAUUUUAUUUAUUUAUUUAUAUUUUUAAUUAAUUAGUUAAUUAAUUAAUUAUUCUUUUUAGGGCUGUACCUGUGGCAUAUGGAAGUUCCCAGGCUAUGGGUCGAAUCGGAGCUGUGCCAGCCUAUGCCACAGCCACAGCAACAGCAACACCAGAUUCAAGCCGCAUUUGUGACCUACACCAGAGCUCAUGGCAAUGCCGGAUCCCCGACCCACUGAGCGAGGCCAGGGAUGGAACCCGCAUCCUCAUGGAUACUAGUUGGUUCGUUUCUGCUGUGCCACAAUGGAAACUCCUGAGAUAGUAUUUUAAAUGAGAAAAAAGUAAAGUUCUGAGACCCACUCCAAAGUCACAUAGCUGAUAUUUAGAGGACCUGAGGUUCUGACACCCAGGCAAGCCCUCUUUUCCUGGGAAAUCUCAUGAACUGACAUUCUCUGGUGUCCCCCUGGGAGGACUCAGCCGUGUCUUCCCUCAGGAUGGGUGCUUCUGCUGUUGAUUCCCCGCCCCCUGUAAGUCCUACAUGCUGUCUGGCCGGUAGUGGCCACUGGUGGUGAGCGGUGAAUGACCCAGCUACUCCAUACUUCAGAUCCAGAUGGCGCAAGACCCAAAGCCACAGGCCACAGCUUCAAAUGGGAGUCUUGCAUUGAGCGAAAUCUGGUACUGAACCAUUUCUGGCCAGGCUCCUGGUUUGCACUGGAUCCUGAUUCCCCCAGGUAUGUGCCACCCUCCUCAAUCAUCUUCAUAAAAAAUAGCCAUCACUGGGAGUUCCGUCAUGGCGCAGUGGUUGAUGAAUCCGACUAGGAACCAUGAGGUUGCGGGUUCGAUCCCUGGCCUUGCUCAGUGGGUUAAGGAUCCAGCAUUGCUAUGAGCUGUGGUGUGGGUCACAGACGCGGCUUGGAUCCUGCGUUGCUGUGGCUCUGGCGUAGGCCCGUGGCUACAGCUCCGAUUAGACCCCUAGCCUGGGAACCUCCAUAUGCCGUGGGAGCGGCUCAAGAAAUGGCCAAAAAAAAAAAAAAAAAAAAAAAAAGACAAAAAAAAAACAAAAACCAAAAACAAAAAAACCUAACCAUCAUUUACUGAAUGCUUUUAGGUGCCAGGCACUGAACUAAGCCCCAAAGAUAGAUCUAAUUUUCACAAUGACACUCUGAAAUACCUAGCUUUGUAAUCCAAGUUUUGUAGAAGAAAUAAAUCAGCCCAGAAACAAUAAGUUGUCCAAGAUUGCAUACUUAGGCAGGAAUGAGGCUGGGUUUUGAACCCAGUAGCCUACAUCCUGGCUUUCUUGACCUGCCAUCUCCAGGAGUUCUUGGUUUUGUCAAAUUGGCUGACUCCAGAAACUGACCACAGGUCUUCUUCCUAGUUUUGACUCAGUGACUCACAGACACCGUGGCCUCCUCAACUUUCAGUUAUGACCCUGUUUUCUGAACUGGUGAUGCCCUUCAACUGGACACCUCCUGCCCCAGAAAUUUCCUGAGGCUCAUUAGCAACACUGCCUAAGUGUUCUGGUCUUACCUCUUUAGAAGAUCUGCUAACCCCUUGUUCUAGCUGAGACCCACUCCAAUCCAAUGUUGAAAAGGAGGGCUAACGCCAUUCUCAAACCAGGCAUACCCUAAACUGCUGUUUGCUGUGUGAAUAUCUGUCUAGGCUAUUUCCCAUCUGUCAAAAAACCUACCGAAAUCCAAUACAAAAUAUGGGUUUAUAGUGUUUUGUGUCAAUCACAUGUGUUAUUUAUGCUAUACUAGGCUGAAGUAACAACUACUGAUUAAUGAGUCAAAGACAAUCCACAAUUUGUGCCCAGGCUCAGGUGACAGUCUUGAGCAGGUUUGUGGACACCUCUUCCCCAGGUAGGCAUUUAAGGACCUAGGAUGAAAGAGGCUCUGCCAUCCUCAGAACAGGGCUUUCAAGGUCACUACUGUCACAUCCUUCCCAAUCAAGUGGAAGAAGGGAAGAGUGUGGAAGAUGCAAAGGAAGGUUUUCAUGGAUCACUGCCACAAGCAGCACGUGUAACUUCUGUUCACAUCCUAUUGGCUGAAGUGCAAAUUGCAAAGGAAGCUGGGGAGUGCAAUCUGGUUGUGUGACCAAGAAGAAGAAAACCAGAUUUCAGUGAACAAUAAAUUGUUCCUGCCACUCUCUACUUCUGAUAAAUAGUAUUUGAACUUUCUUCUUCAGUUUGCUCUUCUGCAUUCUCCUGAAUUUAGUUCUUACAUAUUUAUAGCUUUCUAACUUUAUUGAGUGUGUUUUUUCUUUAAGUCUUCUAGCGAGGUAGCAUAAAAGAGAUUGAAGAAAUGGACAUAGUGAAAAAUGAUUUCUGUGUCUUUUAUACAUAGUUAGGAAAGAAAAGGGGAUGAUGGAAUGGAUUUAUAAUGAGAUCCUGCUGUGCAGCAUUGAGAAAAAUGUCUAGAUACUUAUAUCGCAACAGAACAAAGGGAGGAAAAAAAAUGUAUACAUGUAAGUGUAACUUGGUCCCCAUGCUGUACAGCGGAAAAAAAUAAAUAAAAUUAAAUUAAAAAAAAAGAAAAGGGGACGAAAGCAAAUUUUUGGGUUUGUUUUCAGUUUUGUGAAAAGGCCUACAUUUGGGUAACAUUUACCAAGAUUUUACAGAUCUUGGGCUGUACCCUGGACAUCAUCUCCUUCUACAUAGAUAAUCCUAUAAUUGUAAUAUGGGUAAUCUGAUUCCCUUCUGUGGUUAUGCAUGUCAUGGAUGUAGGAGACUGAGAAAUGUCAGUCCAUCCAUGCUAACAUGGAAUUCCAGCUAUGAUUUUUUCAUGAAGACAGAGCAAAUAGAAGUCAUUGUAUUUAUAAACAUUUUUAUCAACGGAACAUUAAAUGUAGUGUUUUUGUCAUUUAUCCUUAAGCAUUAUUCAUCACAUCAUAAUAUAUUCUAUUCUGCCUUCCAGACUUGAAUAAAGAUUUCUUGAUUUGAAU
rnacentral:lncRNA from 1 species